rnacentral:rRNA from 1 species
GAAGACUUCGGUUGAAUAUGAAGAUGUAAAGUUCUAGCGGCGGACGGGUGAGUAACGCGUGAGCAACCUGUCCCUUACAGGGGGAUAACACAGCGAAAGUUGUACUAAUACCGCAUAAGACCACAGUAAGGCAUCUUACAGGGGUCAAAGGAGCAAUCCGGUGAAGGGUGGGCUCGCGUCCGAUUAGAUAGUUGGUGAGGUAACGGCCCACCAAGUCAACGAUCGGUAGCCGACCUGAGAGGGUGAUCGGCCACAUUGGGACUGAGACACGGCCCAAACUCCUACGGGAGGCAGCAGUGGGGAAUAUUGGGCAAUGGGGGGAACCCUGACCCAGCAACGCCGCGUGAGGGAAGAAGGUUUUCGGAUCGUAAACCUCUGUCCCAGGUGAAGAGUGAGAGACGGUAGCCUGGGAGGAAGCCCCGGCUAACUACGUGCCAGCAGCCGCGGUAAUACGUAGGGGGCGAGCGUUGUCCGGAAUGAUUGGGCGUAAAGGGCGCGUAGGCGGCCCGGUAAGUCUGGAGUGAAAGUCCUGUUUUUAAGAUGGGAAUUGCUUUGGAUACUGUCGGGCUUGAGUGCAGGAGAGGUAAGUGGAAUUCCCAGUGUAGCGGUGAAAUGCGUAGAGAUUGGGAGGAACACCAGUGGCGAAGGCGACUUACUGGACUGUAACUGA